GCAUGUUAUCCCAAAUCCAUUCUCAAUCCUACAAACUCCAUACGAGAAAAACGAAAGCAAUUCGUAAAGGUAAACUUCAUUCAAUUUCCAUGUUUAUCUUUUUUUUUUCCUUCUGCAAAAACUAUUUGAAGUGAUUGAUUCAUAAAAUCCUUUAGUGAAUUGACACACCCAAAAUCCCUAAAUGAUGUUGUGGGGUGGAUGAUUUUUCGUUACAAAAAUUUUUUGAACAUCAUUUUCCGUUAUAAAUUUGUGUAAAACGAUCCGUAAACGUCACCUCUUCGACCCCAGCGUUCGUAACCGCUGCUACUUCGUCUCCGACUAUUCAUAAGCGACGCCCAUUCGUCUCUUGAAAUUUGUAUUUUGCUUCGGCAAUCGUUGCCGUUCUCACCAAUUGGCACAUCUAUCGGUUAAGAUUUCUGUUCGGCAACCAUCGAACAUCGUCAUCUUUUCUGACAUACGUUUUUUCAGUCGUUAAUGACGACCGCGAUGCUGACGUAUAGCGAGAUAAAUAUCCCUACUUUUACAAGGCGUUUCUGCAUUCUGAGAGACAACAAGACCGACAAAGGAAGACCGACGGCGGUUGACGUUUUAGUGCAUAGCCAAUUGUUGGUCAAGGCUAAACCACAGCGGCGAUUACACGGUUGUUGAAAAGGUGAUCAAUAAUGGGGCUGUGUGACGAAAUAGCGCAAUCGAAACUGAGGAGAUGCUGGUGGUGUAGCUUGAAUAGGCGAACAAAUUAGAGGCCGAUUGAGAAGUUAAAAUGCGAGGUCACAAAGGCUUAAGAAGAGGUGAUGAUCGCGAACGUCAUCGCUUUAUUUAGAGUAAAGAGCGAUUCAAGCUUUAAACGUGAAACGACUUUGACGACUGUAGGGUGAGGAAUUCAAUCAUACAGGAAUUGAAGGAAUUUAGUACCGGAUAAAGUCUUUUUGAUCGGGUCCAUCGAUCUUGAAUUCAGGUUUGCUGGGUAAGCAACUCUUAUACAUGUUUCAUCAUUUAUUUUCGGGUUUGCCGGGUAAGCAACUCUUAUACAUGUUUCAUCAUUUAAUUAUUUUUCUUAAUCAAGACAUGGAUUUAAUCUAUUUUUCAUUGGCAAAAAAAAUCAAUAUUUUUUUUAUGGGAAAUCAAGCUUUUUUGUAUAAUAAUAACAUAUUAACAGUAAAAAACAAAACAAAAGACAAAUAAAAAUUUUCGCUACUCAUGUAGUGAUACUAAAGAAAUUCAUAAUCAACUUCCCGCCGCAACGCGCGGGUUAGCGUUA